UGCAUUUCUUGUUUCUCAUAC
rnacentral:piRNA from 1 species